GUCCACGCCCUAAACGAUGUCGACUGGUUGUUGGGGGGUUUGACACUCUCAGUAACGAAGCUAACGCGUGAAGUCGACCGCCUGGGGAGUACGGCCGCAAGGUUAAAACUCAAAGGAAUUGACGGGGACCCGCACAAGUGGUGGAUUAUGUGGAUUAAUUCGAUGCAACGCGAAAAACCUUACCUACCCUUUACAUGUCCUGGAGCCUGGUGAAAGCCGGGUGUGCCCGAAAGGGAACGGGAACACAGGUGCUGCAUGGCUGUCGU
rnacentral:rRNA from 1 species